rnacentral:tRNA from 1 species
CGGACCAUCGGAUAGUGGCAGUCCGUACCCUUGGGGUGGGUAUAGCCCCGGUUCGAUUCCGGGUGGUCCGACCA